ACAGAGGUCCCAAGCGUUGCUCGGAUUCACUGGGCGUAAAGGGUGCGUAGGUGGCGUGGUAAGUCGGAUGUGAAAUCUCCGAGCUCAACUCGGAAACUGCAUUGGAAACUACUAUGCUUGAGGGUUGGAGGGGGGACUGGAAUACUUGGUGUAGGAGUGAAAUGCGUAGAGAUCAGGAGGAAUACCGGUUGCGAAGGCGAGCUACUGGAAAAUUAUUGACGCUGAGGCACGAAAGCUUGGGGAGCAAACAG
rnacentral:rRNA from 1 species